UACGGAGGGUGCGAGCGUUGUCCGGAAUCAUUGGGCGUAAAGGGCGCGUAGGUGGCCCGGUCAGUCUUUGGUGAAAGCGCGGGGCUCAACCCUGCGUCGGCCAGGGAUACUGCCGCGGCUCGAGCACUGUAGAGGCAGGCGGAAUUCCGGGUGUAGCGGUGGAAUGCGUAGAGAUCCGGAAGAACACCGGUGGCGAAGGCGGCUUCCUGGACCGAUACUGACGCUGAGACGCGAAAGCGUGGGGAGCAAACAGG
rnacentral:rRNA from 1 species